GAUGAAGAACGUAGCGAAAUGCGAUAAGUAAUGUGAAUUGCAGAAUUCAGUGAAUCAUCAAAUCUUUGAACGCAUCUUGCGCUCCUUGGUAUUCCGAGGAGCAUGCCUGUUUGAGUGUCAUCCAACUUGUCAACCACUUUGGAAGUUGUUUUUCAAUGUGGCUUGGAUGUGGGGGAUUUGCAGGCUUUUCUUCUGUCUGCUCUCCUGAAAUGCAUUAGUGGUGUCUUAAAGGGUUCACAACCACAGGUGUGAUAAAUUAUCUAUGCCUUUGGUAUGAACAGAGCUGUGCUGCUUCUAAAUGAAAUGAGACCUUGCAGGCUCUUUCUUUUGAUGAAUUUGACCUCAAAUCAGGUAGGACUACCCGCUGAACUUAAGCAUAUCAAUAAGCGGAGGA
rnacentral:misc_RNA from 1 species